rnacentral:snRNA from 1 species
CUGCGAGGAGUGGGACAAACUAGCUCAGAAUCCAUUUCUUGCCUUUUACCAGAGAUGGCCGUGGUUUUGCCCAUAAUACUCCGCUCACCAAUCUUUGAACCUCCGAAUAUCGACAAUAGUCGGUCGAUAGUUUUAAUUUUUGUUCGCGAGAUUUUGACUUUGGCACUCCUGCUAUCAGUCUAUUAAAAAAAAAGAGCGAGGGAAAAGGGGG